rnacentral:rRNA from 1 species
AAAUCCGCUUUGAUAAUGCUGGGAUGUGAUGGGGAGCGAAAUUUAGUAGCGAAGUAGCUGAUUUCACACUGUCAAGAAAAGUCUCUAUCGAGGUUAAAGGUACCCGUACCGCAAACCGACACAGGUGGGUGAGGAGAGUAUCCUAAGGCCAGCGAGAGAACUGUUGUUAAGGAACUCGGCAAAAUGACCCCGUAACUUAGGGAUAAGGGGUGCCACCAUCAGGUGGCCGCAGAGAAUAGGCCCAAGCGACUGUUUACCAAAAACAUAGGUUUCUGCUAAGUCGCAAGACGAUGUAUAGGAGCUGACGCCUGCCCGGUGCUGGAAGGUUAAGGGGAUCUGUUAGAGCAAUCGAAGCAGUGAACUUAAGCCCCAGUAAACGGCGGCCGUAACUAUAACGGUCCUAAGGUAGCGAAAUUCCUUGUCGGGUAAGUUCCGACCCGCACGAAAGGCGUAACGAUUUGGGCACUGUCUCAACAACAGACUCGGUGAAAUUGUAAUUCCGGUGAAGAUGCCGGAUACCUGCGACAGGACGGAAAGACCCCAUGGAGCUUUACUGUAGCUUGACAUUGGGUCUUGGUACUACAUGUACAGGAUAGGUGGGAGGCUUUGAAACCAGGACGCCAGUUUUGGCGGAGCCAUCCUUGGGAUACCACCCUUGUAGUACUGGGACUCUAACCAUAGGCCAUGAAUCUGGUCUUGGGACACUGUCAGGUGGGCAGUUUGACUGGGGCGGUCGCCUCCCAAAAGGUAACGGAGGCGCUCAAAGGUUCUCUCAGUACGGUCGGAAAUCGUACGUAGAGUGUAAAGGCAAAAGAGAGCUUGAUUGCAAGACAUACAGGUCGAGCAAGGAUGAAAAUCGGACUUAGUGAUCCGGUGGUUCUGCGUGGAAGGGCCAUCGCUCAACGGAUAAAAGCUACCCUGGGGAUAACAGGCUUAUCUCCCCCAAGAGUCCACAUCGACGGGGAGGUUUGGCACCUCGAUGUCGGCUCAUCACAUCCUGGGGCUGUAGUAGGUCCCAAGGGUUGGGCUGUUCGCCCAUUAAAGUGGUACGCGAGCUGGGUUCAGAACGUCGUGAGACAGUUCGGUCCCUAUCCGUCGCAGGCGUAGGAAAUUUGAGAAGACCUGUCCUUAGUACGAGAGGACCGGGAUGGACGUACCUCUGGUGUACCAGUUGU